CACCUACGGGAGGCUGCAGUAAGGAAUAUUGGUCAAUGGAGGCAACUCUGAACCAGCCAUGCCGCGUGCAGGAAGACGGCCCUAUGGGUUGUAAACUGCUUUUGUACCAGAGAAAACCCGAGUACGUGUACUCGGUUGAUAGUACGGUAAGAAUAAGCAUCGGCUAACUUCGUGCCAGCAGCCGCGGUAAGACGAAGGAUGCAAGCGUUAUCCGGAUUCAUUGGGUUUAAAGGGUGCGUAGGCGGACCUGUAAGUCAGUGGUGAAAUCUCUCAGCUUAACUGAGAAACUGCCAUUGAUACUGCAGGUCUAGAGUAUAGAUGACGUUGGCGGAAUAUGACAUGUAGUGGUGAAAUACUUAGAUAUGUCAUAGAACACCGAUUGCGAAGGCAGCUAACGAAACUAUAACUGACGCUGAGGCACGAAAGUGCGGGGAUCAAACAGGAUUAGAUACCCUGGUAGUCCGCACCGUAAACGAUGAUUACUCGUUGUUGGCGAUAUGACAGUCAGCGACCAAGCGAAAGCGAUAAGUA
rnacentral:rRNA from 1 species